rnacentral:rRNA from 1 species
CAUGGCCUCUUGCAACCCGCAAAUAAGAGGUCCAACCUGCCCAGUGACAAUAAGUUUAACGGCCGCGGUAUUUUAACCGUGCUAAGGUAGCGUAAUCACUUGUCUUUUAAAUGAAGACCCGUAUGAAAGGUGUCACGAGGGCCCUCCUGUCUCCUACUUCAAGUCUAUGAAAUUGAUCUGCCCGUGCAGAAGCGGGCAUACCCACAUAAGACGAGAAGACCCUGUGGAGCUUAAGACUACAACCAAUCAUGCCUAGUAACCCACCCUCCAAACGGCACAAAAGGUCCAAUAAGCUUAAUGACAAUGGUUUACUGUCUUCGGUUGGGGCGACCAUGGGGGACAGAAAAGCCCCCAAGAAGAAGCAGGGGACAAUUACACCGAUCCCUAAGAGUCAAGAGCUACAACUCUAAACAACAGAAAUAUCUGACUAAUAAUGAUCCAGGUAACAAACCUGAUCAACGGACCAAGUUACCCCAGGGAUAACAGCGCAAUCCUUUCCCAGAGCCCAUAUCGCCGAAAGGGUUUACGACCUCGAUGUUGGAUCAGGACAUCCUGGUGGCGAAAAUUCUACCAAGGGUUCGUUUGUUCAACGAUUAAAGUCCUACGUGAU